rnacentral:tRNA from 1 species
GCGGGAGUAGCUCAGGGGUAGAGCACUAGCCUUCCAAGCUAGGUACGCGAGUUCGAUUCUCGUCUCCCGCU